AGUGAACGCUGGCGGUAGGCCCAACACAUGCAAGUCGAACGGCAGCACAGUAAGAGCUUGCUCUUACGGGUGGCGAGUGGCGGACGGGUGAGGAAUACAUCGGAAUCUACUUUUUCGUGGGGGAUAACGUAGGGAAACUUACGCUAAUACCGCAUACGACCUACGGGUGAAAGCAGGGGAUCUUCGGACCUUGCGCGAUUGAAUGAGCCGAUGUCGGAUUAGCUAGUUGGCGGGGUAAAGGCCCACCAAGGCGACGAUCCGUAGCUGGUCUGAGAGGAUGAUCAGCCACACUGGAACUGAGACACGGUCCAGACUCCUAUGGGAGGCAGCAGUGGGGAAUAUUGGACAAUGGGCGCAAGCCUGAUCCAGCCAUACCGCGUGGGUGAAGAAGGCCUUCGGGUUGUAAAGCCCUUUUGUUGGGAAAGAAAAGCAGCAGGUUAAUACCCCGCUGUUCUGACGGUACCCAAAGAAUAAGCACCGGCUAACUUCGUG
rnacentral:rRNA from 1 species